GAAGCCUGCAAACUGGUUAAAGAGGACCUAAGAAAGGUCUACACCAGCAAGAAGAUCAAAGAAAAGAUGCAGGAGUGUAGUAAUCUGCUGGGUAUUCCACUGUGCCACAUCUUCCCUGUGAAGAACUACCACAUGGAGGUGGACCCGGCUGGUGACGUGGAUGUUCUGAUCCUCAAGGCUCUCAAUCAGAUUGUGCAUCUCGCCAACGAUGCUCUGGAAGACCAAAAACCUUGUGACAAUUCUGAGUGAAGUCUUUUUUUCCCACUCCUACAGUACACUAGUGCAGUGUCCGGCUUGUGGAAGGAAUAAAACAGCAUGAAACAUUGUGUCAUAGCUAGUCUGUAACAUGUGUAAUGUAUAUUAUUAUUAUUAUUAUUAUUAUUAUUAUUAUUAUUAUUAUUAUUAUUAUUAUUAUUCUCUUCCUCCUGAUUUGUGUUUGAUUACUGGAAUUGUCACCAAAGUAUUGCCUACGGCACUUUGGACUUAAGUAACUUCUAUGCUAUUAAAUUAAUAAAUAUAAAUCAACUGAAAAGUUUUAUUAAAUGUUGCAUUAAAUAAAAGUGUAUUAUAAUGAU